AGUGAACGCUGGCGGCAGGCCUAACACAUGCAAGUCGAACGGCAGCACAGUAAGAGCUUGCUCUUACGGGUGGCGAGUCGCGGACGGGUGAGGAAUACAUCGGACUCUACUUUUUCGUGGGGGAUAACGUAGGGACAGUUACGCUAAUACCGCAUCCGCCCUACGGGUGAAAGCAGGGGAUCUUCGCACCUUGCGCGAUUGAAUGAGCCGAUGUCGGAUUAGCUAGUUGGCGGGGUAAAGGCCCACCAAGGCGACGAUCCGUAGCUGGUCUGAGAGGAUGAUCAGCCACACUGGAACUGAGACACGGUCCAGACUCCUACGGGAGGCAGCAGUGGGGAAUAUUGGACAAUGGGCGCAAGCCUGAUCCAGCCAUACCGCGUGGGUGAAGAAGGCCUUCGGGUUGUAAAGCCCUUUUGUUGGGAAGGAAAAGCAGCAGGUUAAUACCCCGCUGUUCUGACGGUACCCAAAGAAUAAGCACCGGCUAACUUCGUG
rnacentral:rRNA from 1 species